UGUUGGCCGCGGGACUAGCCUUUACCGCAUUGCCUUUCUUCUAUAUCCUCGCUACAGCGUUACUCAGUCCAGCGCCUCCACUUCUAAACAACUCCAGUGGGGAAGUUUUAGUGGUCCUGUGUUGGGUGAUGGUGACUGCACUUUUUUCGUACGCCCGCAUGUGGACCCUGGAGCGCGGGCGGCGUGGAGGGGCGCGCGGCAUGCGGGCCUGCGGAGUGGCCUCUCAGGUCGGCUCCGCGGGCGGGUCCCUCACCAUGUUCCUGCUCAUCAGCUACACAAACCUCUUCAGACAGGCCCCAGUCUGCCCUCGGCCGUUGGCCUUGUAAACUGCGAUACUAGAUUAGUUGUUAGAAAUCAAAAUAUAUUUAUUGUUGAUUUCA
rnacentral:lncRNA from 1 species